CAGAGAUUAGGGUAAACGAGGGGAUCGAAAGCAGAGAGUCACAGUCACAGCCGGGUCGUCUCACGAAAGCGGCAACCACAAGAAAGGCUAGAGUUACGUAAAGUGGCGAGGUGGCCUUUAAGGGAGACGGGGAUGGCAUGAGGUCGAACCAUCAAAGGUGGCGGACAGGUCCCAACUCGGGACCCUAAACUGCCGCCUGAACUUUUCGGUGGAUGUCUGCGAAAUGCGGGUUAGUAAGGCCU
rnacentral:rRNA from 1 species